rnacentral:sRNA from 1 species
AUGGUUAAGAAACACUGGUUAGCUACUAAUAAUCGUGGAGGUGGGUAGAAAUUGAUUAUAUAUAUCAUAUAGACUCAUAAAUCUAUAUAUGUAUAUAUAUAUAUGAGACUGUCUAAAAUACCAAUAUGCACAUAUGUAUAUGAUCCCAUGAAUCUUUUGUUCAUAUGUUCAUGUUGGUGAUAGUAUCUCUGUCCUAAAAGCUAUCUUUGUGUAAGUUUACUCUCUUUCAACACUCACUUCUGUUGUAAAAAUUUGUUCUUUCUCUUUAUUUGUUCACUUUCCUUUUCUGGGUCCUUAAGGAAUACAUUCUUUUUCUUGGAAUCAUAUGAAAGAAAAAUGCUAGAUCUUGGUGUCACCUUGUGAUGUACCCAAAUGGGUGUAUCUGGAUUAGAAACUUGGUUUGGAGAUUGAAAUUAUGCUGUGUUGUGGCAAUUUUUUUUUUUUUUUUUUUUUUUUUUUUAAAUGGGUGUAUCUGGAUUAGAAACUUGGUUUGGAGAUUUAUUUUUUUUUUUUUUUUUUUAAUUUUUUUUUUUUUUUUUUUUUCAUGUUUCAUAUUGGUUUGAUUUUCUCAUCUUUGAUGUGGGUGUGAUCUCUUUUAGUCUGAACUGUGCUAGAUCUUGAUGUUCAAGAAGCUUUGUCAAUUGGGUAUAUUCCAUUUCCAUUGAAACCUUUUAGUGUUCUUGACUUCUUUUGACUCUUUAGGCUUUAAAUUUUUUAAUUUUCUUCUUGCAUGGUUUAGUUUUUUCAAAUCUUUUCCUUUCUUAAUUAAUAACUGUUAUAUUUUUGGGUACUGGGGAUAUAGCUCUGUUGCUAUUUUCACCCAAUCUCCAUGAGAGAUAGCUUACAGGGUUGGUGGUGAGAGUCCUUUUUGAACAAUCUCAUUUUUCAUCUAAAGAACCUUUUUUUUUUCUUUCUCCUUUUCGUUUUGUUAUAUUCUAUUGUGUUUGUUACAGAUCAGUUUAUACCAUUGUAUUUCACUGGAUAUGCACCAAUUGACUUGCAUAUUCAUAUUUGCCACUGUAUUAUACAAAGUACCUGUGUUAUCGGUUAUUUUUUUCUCAUAUGGAUGUGAAUAAGUGGUCUCUUCUGGUGGAAUUUUGAUCUCUGGGCUUAAUCUAUUAGUUCUAUUCAAUAUUUGAUUCAUUGUUUAACAUUUAUUUUUUAGUUUUUAUGUAUUACUCUAAUAUCCUCUUUACUCAUUUCAAUUUUCAAUAUUUGAUUCAUUGUUUAUAAUUUUUUCUUGUUUUUAUGUAGUAUUCUAAUAUCCUUUUUACUCAUUUCAGUUCAUGUAUCAAGAAGGGAGUGAGUAGAUUUCAUCCUUGUUUCAUUCCUCUCAGGUUGAUCAGACUGACAAAACACUAUUGCCAACCUUCUGCCUCUGUAAUUCUACUCAUUUUGUUGUUUUUAAUAAUCUUUUGUUCAGCCAAGCUGAGUUUGUACCUUGUAUUUCUAAAAGUGCAUUUAUAUUUAGAAUUCUAAUAACCCCAAAACUUCAAUUUUGAUCCAAAUGGGUCUCUCUAGCCUCCCAGCCCCAUCCGAGGGAGUACUAUGUGUACUUCUGGUAAACACUGCCCUAUCCAUCUCAAUUGUCAAAGGCAUAGUCCGAACCAUCCUUCAUAUUGUUGGUAUCCAUCUCUCAUCAGCAUCGGCUUCACCCUCAUCAACAGAUUCGACUCAAAACCCCCCAGAAUCAUUCGAAUACCAUAAUACUUCUGAGAGUUACAUUGAGGAGUUCAAGAACCGGACCCCAGCUAUACGGUUUGAUACAGCGUGUAGCUGUAAACAGCCAGAACAUGAAUGCUCGGUUUGCUUGAAUCAGUUUGAACCUGAAUCAGAGAUAAACCAAUUGUCUUGUGGCCAUCUUUUUCAUAAAGUAUGCUUGGAUAAGUGGCUGGACUAUUGGAACAUUACUUGUCCUCUCUGUAGGACUCCCUUAUUGCCUGAGGAAGAAGCAACUUGCCUUUGGUGAGCAUAUACAAGUUAUUUGACUCAUGUAAGUUAAGGGAAUUCCGUGUACAGCAUAGUGUACAGUUACUUGCUUAUAUGCAUCGGCUGGUUGUAGUGUUAUACGCAUGUUAUGCAAGGAGUUUUCAGUGUGAUAUGUUGAUGAAUCAUCUUUGAGACCAAAAUCUUAAUAUUGUACAUAUUGUGAUGUUUCUGAUGUUAUACUUACAUAAGCAUCAGACUCUAGCUUGAGCGUUUUUGUGGAGAUUUUGUUUUCUUUUGUUGCCAUGUUGCUGUAUUGGCCAGAGAAUUAGGGAGCUCCUGUUACACUUUUUAAAUAUCCGGCUUAAAACCUCUACCUGAUUGAGAUGGAAUAACAGCUCCCUUUAGUCAUGGCUAAUCAUCAUUAUGCAGAUUUCAGCAUAUUUUAUCUUCCUUUCUUUAAUACAAAGCUGAGACUCAUCAUACUAGUAACCAAGGUGUUGUCCCCAACCAAACUUACAAUUGUACCAAGUUGCCAAGUUUUUAUAUUCCCAUAUCUACUUUAUAACUAAGGACAAGCACUGCCAAAAGAGUUCAAACUCAUAAUAAUUGGAAGCAUAAGAAAGUUCCCAAAAAACAAGAAUUAAAAGGAAGAGAUGGGGAACUAAAAAUUUGCCCCAUUCAAAUAAGCCCCAAAAACCAGAUAGCUGAAUUCUGUGUAUGGUGCCAGCUUUGGGUCUGUUUGGUUAGGAGUUUUGAGAGAUUAAAGAGUAUUUUUAAAAUUUAAAACUCUAUUUUGCAAUUUCAACUAUUUUUUUUUAAACACUCAUUUUAAAUAAAAAAACAAAUUUUCAAUAGCUUAUAAAAAUGCACCUAUUUGGAAAAAAUACCAAAUUCUUAGUGGUGAGGAUAAAGUUUCGACUAAUAUUGUCAUUUAAUAAUGCCAAAAAUCGUCAGUAAGUUGCACAGUCCCCACGUGCUCUAGAUAGAACCUGUAAAAUAAAGAAAAAGGAGACCUUACAGAGAAUAUCGGUGUGGUACCGGCCAUAUGUCCUCCGAAGGUCAAGUUAGAGAACUUUUACUACUCUAGAGUGCCAAAGUUUGGGUAAAUUAUGCGUACCUUGGUUUGUGAGGGUUUUGAGGUUUUUAUAGUAGCGUAGAACUGAUAUUCGUUUCUUGGUGGAGAUGGUCUUUCCUUGUAGGGAAGAUCCUUUUUGAGACCAAAAUCUUAAUAUUGUACAUAUUGUGAUGUUUCUGAUGUUAUACUUACAUAAGCAUCAGACUCUAGCUUGAGCGUUUUUGUGGAGAUUUUGUUUUCUUUUGUUGCCAUGUUGCUGUAUUGGCCAGAGAAUUAGGGAGCUCCUGUUACACUUUUUAAAUAUCCGGCUUAAAACCUCUACCUGAUUGAGAUGGAAUAACAGCUCCCUUUAGUCAUGGCUAAUCAUCAUUAUGCAGAUUUCAGCAUAUUUUAUCUUCCUUUCUUUAAUACAAAGCUGAGACUCAUCAUACUAGUAACCAAGGUGUUGUCCCCAACCAAACUUACAAUUGUACCAAGUUGCCAAGUUUUUAUAUUCCCAUAUCUACUUUAUAACUAAGGACAAGCACUGCCAAAAGAGUUCAAACUCAUAAUAAUUGGAAGCAUAAGAAAGUUCCCAAAAAACAAGAAUUAAAAGGAAGAGAUGGGGAACUAAAAAUUUGCCCCAUUCAAAUAAGCCCCAAAAACCAGAUAGCUGAAUUCUGUGUAUGGUGCCAGCUUUGGGUCUGUUUGGUUAGGAGUUUUGAGAGAUUAAAGAGUAUUUUUAAAAUUUAAAACUCUAUUUUGCAAUUUCAACUAUUUUUUUUUAAACACUCAUUUUAAAUAAAAAAACAAUUUUUCAAUAGCUUAUAAAAAUGCACCUAUUUGGAAAAAAUACCAAAUUCUUAGUGGUGAGGGUAAAGUUUCGACUAAUAUUGUCAUUUAAUAAUGCCAAAAAUUGUCAGUAAGUUGCACAGUCCCCACGUGCUCUAGAUAGAACCUGUAAAAUAAAGAAAAAGGAGACCUUACAGAGAAUAUCGGUGUGGUACCGGCCAUAUGCCCUCCGAAGGUCAAGUUAGAGAACUUUUACUACUCUAGAGUGCCAAAGUUUGGGUAAAUUAUGCGUACCUUGGUUUGUGAGGGUUUUGAGGUUUUUAUAGUAGCGUAGAACUGAUAUUCGUUUCUUGGUGGAGAUGGUCUUUCCUUGUAGGGAAGAUCCUUAUUAAUACACGUAUUUUGCGGGAUUCUUUCCUUGUAGGGAUUCCUUUGAUUGGGGUUGGUCGUGAUACACAAGUCAUUUCCAUUCGUAGACAUUCGUGGAGAUCACGCUAAGCCACGCUGGACCUGUUGGCCCCUUCAUCUGUCAAUCGAUCACCUCAUUUGAAGAUUUCUCGUUAGCUUCAUGGAGAUGCUUGUUAGAUGUCGUGGGGCUGUCGGCCAUUUAGCAGUGUUGCUUUGAAUCCCCAUUUGCUUAUAUGAAGGCAACGGGUCCAGAGGGGCCAUCGACUUCUUUAUAUGUCUUUUCUUGAAUCUUAUAACGAGAAUACCUUUAUCAGCUGCCCCUUACUCCAUGACUCCAUCGGCUCCAAUUGACAGGUCAAGGAGCUCAAUUAUUAGCUGUAGCUUUUUUAUUAUCAUUUUUUGAAAAAAUGGGUGUCAUUAAUUACUCUUGAGCAGCCUUUAUUAAAUGCUAGGAAUACGUGGCAGUAGUCGGUUGGCCUCAUUUUUUAUUAAAAGCAUCACUUCGUUUCUUGUUCCUUUGUCCUAUAAAUAGUUCAUCACCUCUUCCCAUUUCCUCUUAUUUCAUCUUUGCGAGCCUUAAGAGAGACAGUUGUCGUUCCGUUGCUUAAGCCAUUGUCACUUUACUAUUGUUAAUCUUCAAAGGGACCGUCACUUUCAAUCUGUCUGCUUUUUAUUGUAAGUUUGCUUCUCAUUUUGAUUCAUAUAUUUUGUUUGCAACUCGUCCUCUUUUUUAUGUUUUGAGACCCGUCAAGAUAGGCCUCUUAGAAAAAAAUAACUUUGUUGCUUGUAGGUUGAUAGAUGUCAGAUAGGGAAGCGACGAGUGAACUUUCAUCAUCAAUUCGUGAGGGUGCGGGCUACGAUAAGGUCUUUCUGUCAGGGCGCGAGCCUGGGGAAGACUACCCUCGGUCCCAGAAAGGGAGUCGUCCACCCAGUCCUUGAGUAAUGAAAACGAGGAAGAGGAUGAGGGAGGCAUUGAAAGGGAUGAUUAUGACAAGGGAGAAGUGGAUGAAGACAACGGGGAGGGUAAGGAGGAUGAGGAUGGUGAGGAUGACGAGGGAACCAUUCUGAGGGUAUUAAUACACGUAUUUUGCGGGAUUCUUUCCUUGUAGGGAUUCCUUUGAUUGGGGUUGGUCGUGAUACACAAGUCAUUUCCAUUCGUAGACAUUCGUGGAGAUCACGCUAAGCCGCGCUGGACCUGUUGGCCCCUUCAUCUGUCAGUCGCUCACCUCAUUUGAAGAUUUCUUGUUAGCUUCAUGGAGAUGCUUGUUAGAUGUCGUGGGGCUGUCGGCCAUUUAGCAGUGUUGCUUUGAAUCCCCAUUUGCUUAUAUGAAGGCAACGGGUCCAGAGGGGCCAUCGACUUCUUUAUAUGUCUUUUCUUGAAUCUUAUAACGAGAAUACCUUUAUCAGCUGCCCCUUACUCCAUGACUCCAUCGGCUCCAAUUGACAGGUCAAGGAGCUCAAUUAUUAGCUGUAGCUUUUUUAUUAUCAUUUUUUGAAAAAAUGGGUGUCAUUAAUUACUCUUGAGCAGCCUUUAUUAAAUGCUAGGAAUACGUGGCAGUAGUCGGUUGGCCUCAUUUUUUAUUAAAAGCAUCACUUCGUUUCUUGUUCCUUUGUCCUAUAAAUAGUUCAUCACCUCUUCCCAUUUCCUCUUAUUUCAUCUUUGUGAGCCUUAAGAGAGACAGUUGUCGUUCCGUUGCCUAAGCCAUUGUCACUUUACUAUUGUUAAUCUUCAAAGGGACCGUCACUUUCAAUCUGUCUACUUUUUAUUGUAAGUUUGCUUCUCAUUUUGAUUCAUAUAUUUUGUUUGCAACUCGUCCUCUUUUUUAUGUUUUGAGACCCGUCAAGAUAGGCCUCUUAGAAAAAAAUAACUUUGUUGCUUGUAGGUUGAUAGAUGUCAGAUAGGGAAGCGACGAGUGAACUUUCAUCAUCAAUUCGUGAGGGUGCGGGCUACGAUAAGGUCUUUCUGUCAGGGCGCGAGCCUGGGGAAGACUACCCUCGGUCCCAGAAAGGGAGUCGUCCACCCAGUCCUUGAGUAAUGAAAACGAGGAAGAGGAUGAGGGAGGCAUUGAAAGGGAUGAUUAUGACAAGGGAGAAGUGGAUGAAGACAACGGGGAGGGUAAGGAGGAUGAGGAUGGUGAGGAUGACGAGGGAACCAUUCUGAGGGACGGGAUCUAGAGGGUCAAGCGGACAGUGGUGCCCAUCCCUUUAUUCUUCCUACAAUAUGGACCGUUAACAAUUUUUACCUGACGAUGACUAACAACAUAUUCAAGAACCUUCAUGAUUGUUAUCAAAUUCCCGAGAAUUUCCCCAUUCGUUUAUCCAGGAAGUUUGAAAAGUGUUACUUGGGAAGACCAUAGACGUUGGCAUGUAUGACGCCAUGUUCGCAGCAAGGUUGAGAUUACCACUAACGGAAUUGUACUGUCAAUUGGCCAAUUAUCUUGGUUUGUCAGUAAGUCAAAUAGCUCAUAAUGCUUGGAGAAUAUUUAUAGGAGCUGAAGUACUUUGGGGUUUUCUUAGCGAUGGGAACAGUCAGCUCACUCUCGAUGAGUUCUUCUAUUGCUAUAGACCCCAACACAUCUCCUCAUCCUAGGAGAUCUACCACUUUCUAAUGAGGAAGACGUCGCUCAAGCUAGUGUUGGACAUGCCUGAUUCAAAUAGGAAUUGGAAGAAUAGGUAUUUCUUUGUCCAAGGAAUGGACUGGGUGUGCAGAUGGGAGGAAUGGGACACCAUGCCCCAUGGCUUUGACAAUACUUGGGGUAUUGUAAAGGAUUCAAGUCUAGUACCAUUUGCAUUCUUACCUUUUAUUUAUUAGCUAUGUAUUUAACGUCGUUUGUUUCUCUUUUUUUUCAGCUAGCGUCUGUUCGCAAAUAACUGACAAGUAGGAGGCUUUUAUUCGUUGUGUGCUAAAGAUCCCUUUCGGUCAAAGAAAGUGGAAAGACCUUGUCACUCUAGACACACUCCACGCCUAUUAUGGUGGUCCUGAGCCAACCUCUGCAACUCAUAGAUUGAACGCUUACUCCCGUCGGCGUAAGCUUUUACUUUCUUGCCCACUUCCUUCCGUCUGUUUCUACUUAUACUAAUGUCUACUCUUCUAACGUUCAUCCUUUAUCCUUUGCAGAAAUGGAAGCAAGGAGGCAGAGGGCUUUUGUAAGGUAGUUAGCUGCAGCAUGUAAGCAGCAGCAGAAAGAGGAGCCCUCGACAUUGGCUUCCAAGGUCAUUGUCAAGGGGACGUCUAAGCGGAAGAACAAAGGGAAGGAUGACCUUCUGCAUAAGAAAGGACUGGGCACCCUUGUUGGUGACAAGUAGCCAAAGCAGUCGUUGCUUCCUAAACCAAACCAUGGAGUUGGUAAAGGGUUGAUGACAGGGAAAGGUCCCGUCGGUCAAGGAGCCAUCCGUCAUUUGCUUACGCACAAGGAACAUGCCGUCAAGAUGGUUGAAUCAAUCAUCAAAGAGACGAAUUUGGACCUUUGUGCUGAACAGACGAUUGAGGACUUAGGGGCGUCGGGCCUCUUGGACCUGUUUAGGGUAUGUUUCUUUUACAUCGUGCCUUUCGCGCUUUUUAUUCAUUCUUUUACUGACAGUUGUCUUAAUUUUAGGCGUUGAUGAGUAUAAAGGUGCUUCAUGACAGAUGUGUCACCUAG